rnacentral:rRNA from 1 species
GAUGAACGCUCGCUCCAGGCUUAACACAUGCAAGUCGAGGGGAAACGACAUCGAAAGCUUGCUUUUGAUGGGCGUCGACCGGCGCACGGGUGAGUAACGCGUAUCCAACCUGCCCAUCACUUGGGAAUAACCUUGCGAAAGUAAGACUAAUACCCAAUGACAUCCCACGAAGACAUCUGAAUGGGAUUAAAGAUUUAUCGGUGAUGGAUGGGGAUGCGUCUGAUUAGCUUGUUGGCGGGGUAACGGCCCACCAAGGCAACGAUCAGUAGGGGUUCUGAGAGGAAGGUCCCCGACAUUGGAACUGAGACACGGUCCAAACUCCUACGGGAGGUAGCAGUGAGGAAGAGUGGUCAAUGGGCGAGAGCCUGAACCAGCCAAGUAGCGUGCAGGAUGACGGCCCUAUGGGUGGUAAACUGCUUUUAUAAGGGAAUAAAGUGGGUCUCGGGAGACUUUUUGCAUGUACCUUAUGAAUAAGGACCGGCUAAUUCCGUG